AUGUCGGGAACUAGUGACUAGUCUCUCGAUACGUUUGCGCGUAUAAAGAUAAUGGAAGAGAAGGAGUGAGCGCAGUGCAUCCGAAGCCGGAAAAAGACGCGGACCUUUAGUGAACCUCAGGAAUUCGUAUUGCGAGGUACAUUCACGAAGAAACAAUGAAUCACGUAUACGCUUUUACUUUUCUCGUUUGCGCCGUGCUUUCUACAAACGGAUUUGUCUGUCCCCCUGAUGUCUGUAAGUCCACGAGAUGCGACGAACUGACGGAGACGGCGUGUGCAAAAGACGACGGAAUUUACCAAACAAAUGGUGGCUUUUGUGGUUGUUGUCCGAUAUGCCUUAAGAAAAUUUCCAAAGGAAGCUCGUGUUCGGCGUUAUUCCUCGGGUUACCUGUCACGGCCGUUUGUGAAGAAGGUACCAGCUGUCUGCCAGAGAGUGAAGAGAACUACAAGUGUCUGUAGGAGAGGAGAAAGUCGACGAAAUAGAAUUCAAAGAUCGACAAGUUAAUCUCUAACGAAAUAAUUUCGUGAGACUUAAUUUUACUUAUUGUUAGUAUUACAUUUCUGCUGCGAAAGUUUUCAGCCUCUGCGAGUAAUCGAUAGAUUUUACGAUGUAAUAAAUAAAUUAUGACAACAGUGUUUGGAAAACGCCCAAAUGGCAGUAAAUCAAAACCGCAAAUGGAGAUGAUGGGAUAAAAAAUAUGGCUGUAACGGCUUUCGAUAAGAAGUCAACUUUCUGGAAGCCUUUCUCCUCAAUCCUUUUCACUCGCAAUAAAAAUUCGCUUUAAAAGAA